rnacentral:rRNA from 1 species
UCUUAUAAAUUAAGACUGGAAUGAAUGGAUUUAUGAAGUAAAUCUUUCUUGAAUUUAAAGUUAAAAAUAAUUUUUUUAGUGAAGAAACUAUAAUAAAAAUGAGGGACGAGAAGACCCUAUUAAGCUUGAUAUAAUUAUUCUGUUGGGGAAACAAAAGAAAAAUUUUUCUUUAGAAAAUUCUCUUUAUAGAGAUAGAUUUAUUAUUAAUAAUAAUAGAAUAAGUUACUAUAGGGAUAACAGCAUAAUUGCUUUAAAAAGUUCUUAUUAACAAAGAUAAUUAUGACCUCGAUGUUGGAUUAUUAUUAUUAUAUGAUGAAGCUGUCGUAUCAAUUAGUCUGUUCGACUAUUAAAUAUUUA